rnacentral:rRNA from 1 species
CCUGAUGACCAUAGCGAGUCGGUCCCACCCCUUCCCAUCCCGAACAGGACCGUGAAACGACUCUACACCGAUGAUAGUGCGGAUUCCCGUGUGAAAGUAGGUAAUCGUCAGGC